rnacentral:lncRNA from 1 species
AACCCAAAACUGAUUUAUUCACACAAAAAAACUGGUCACAUUGCUAUUGUCCUUUAGCAGAAAAAUGCAUAAAGUAUGAUACGGUCAAACAAAAGCAAAUUUUCCAGUCAUUGUGAAGAAUGAAGUGAAUCUGUAAUAUUGAUAUAUAAGGAUGUCCUAAGCAAAACUUUUUGGUGAAAAAGAGCAAGUUGACCAAUAAUAGGUGUGUCAUAAUCCUAAUUAUAAAUAAAAAGAUGCAUCUAUAAACAGACAUCAUAUGCUAGUACAGCCACAAACAAUUUCUGAACGCACAUAGAAACUGUUAACAGUGUCUGUCUUUAGGGAGUGGAACCAGGAUGGGGUUUUUACAUUAGUCUUUCACAGUAUUUGAAUUUUUAGUCCUGAGUAAAUGUUAC